AUUGAACGCUGGCGGCAGGCCUAACACAUGCAAGUCGAGCGAGCGGCGGACGGGUGAGUAAUGUAUGGGGACUGCCCGCUCGAGGGGGAUAACUACUGGAAACGGUAGCUAAUACCGCAUACUAUCGGAUAACCCAUAUGGGAUGAGCUAGUAGGUGAGGGAAUGGCUCACCUAGGCGACGAUCUAUAGCUGGUCUGAGAGGAUGAUCAGCCACACGGGGACUGGGAUACGGCCCAGAAUCCGACGGAGGCAGCAGUGGGGAAUAUUGAGCAAGGGGCGGAAGCCUGAUGCAGCCAAGCCGCGUGUAUGAAGAAGGCCCUAGGGUUGUAAAGUACUUUCAGUCGGGAGGCGUUACCGACAGAAGAAGCACCGGCUAACUCCGUGCCAGCAGCCGCGGUAAUUC
rnacentral:rRNA from 1 species